GGGGCCGACAUGGUUUCGACGUGGAUUCGGAGUCAAGUAGGGCAUGCCGAGCACUCCAGAACGCUCGUUAAUCUUUGUGGAAAACAAUCAAGCGCCAACGAUAACUCGUACGCUCUAGCCGCUUAAUCCCGGCAAGCCGCUCACCGGAAGGCCAAUGGUCCGGGUUGAUGGUCGCAAGGCCUGAGACAGAGCGGUAAUCUACAUUGGCUGGUUCGGCGCCGGGUCACUCGGUGUCGAACGAGAUUUAGUGACUGGUUGCCUUCGUAGCGUGCUGCUGCGCGACGAGGGGGAUGAGAUACAAAACAGUCAGCUACGCAUGUAGAACUGCUUGGUAAUGGUUCGCGGACGCGGGUUCAAUUCCCGCCGGCUCCACCA
rnacentral:tmRNA from 1 species